rnacentral:rRNA from 1 species
AACGAACGCUGGCGGCAUGCCUAACACAUGCAAGUCGAACGAUUGCCUUCGGGUGAUAGUGGCGCACGGGUGCGUAACGCGUGGGAAUCUGCCCUUAGGUUCGGAAUAACAGCUGGAAACGGCUGCUAAUACCGGAUGAUAUCGCGAGAUCAAAGAUUUAUCGCCUGAGGAUGAGCCCGCGUUGGAUUAGGUAGUUGGUGGGGUAAAGGCCUACCAAGCCGACGAUCCAUAGCUGGUCUGAGAGGAUGAUCAGCCACACUGGGACUGGGACACGGCCCAGACUCCUACGGGAGGCAGCAGUGGGGAAUAUUGGACAAUGGGCGCAAGCCUGAUCCAGCAAUGCCGGGUGAGUGAUGAAGGCCCUAGGGUUGUAAAGCUCUUUUACCCGGGAAGAUAAUGACUGUACCGGGAGAAUAAGCCCCGGCUAACUCCGUG